AAACUGCGAUAAGUCAUGUGAAUUGCAGAAUUCCGUGAAUCAUCGAAAUCUUGAACGCAAAUGGCAUUCUGGUGUUGAAUCAGAAUGUGCCUGCUCGAGUGUCGGCAAUAAAUACUCAAUGAAUUAAUUUUCAAUGGGAUUGAAAGUUCAUAUUUUCAUCAUAAAUAUGAUCUUUAAAAGAAAAUGGAUAUAGAUUAUUUAUUAUUAAUGAAAAUUGAUGAGAAAUAUUCAAGAAAAUUGAACACACUAUAUUAUUGUGAACAAUCUCUUGAUUUUUCAUCAUUUUUUCAUUAAUUUUUUUAUAUUCUUCCUUGAUUGAAUCUCAACAUAGAUUCUUUCUAAUUCUAACUUUCUCGACCUCGAUUUAGGCAAGAUGACCCGGUGGACUUAA
rnacentral:misc_RNA from 1 species